AUUGAACGCUGGCGGCACGCCUAACACAUGCAAGUCGAGCGGAUGAAGGGAGCUUGCUCCUGGAUUCAGCGGCGGACGGGUGAGUAAUGCCUAGGAAUCUGCCUGGUAGUGGGGGAUAACGUCCGGAAACGGGCGCUAAUACCGCAUACGUCCUGAGGGAGAAAGUGGGGGAUCUUCGGACCUCACGCUAUCAGAUGAGCCUAGGUCGGAUUAGCUAGUUGGUGGGGUAAAGGCCUACCAAGGCGACGAUCCGUAACUGGUCUGAGAGGAUGAUCAGUCACACUGGAACUGAGACACGGUCCAGACUCCUACGGGAGGCAGCAGUGGGGAAUAUUGGACAAUGGGCGAAAGCCUGAUCCAGCCAUGCCGCGUGUGUGAAGAAGGUCUUCGGAUUGAAAAGCACUUUAAGUUGGGAGGAAGGGCAGUAAGUUAAUACCUUGCUGUUUUGACGUUACCAACAGAAUAAGCACCGGCUAACUUCGUG
rnacentral:rRNA from 1 species